rnacentral:lncRNA from 1 species
CAAAGUAGAGGGAGUCAGGGCCAAGUCUCACAGUUCAGUUUAGUUCAGUCACUCAGUCGUGUCCGACUCUUUGUGACCCCAUGGACCGCAGCAUGCCAGGCCUCCCAGUCCAUCACCAACUCCUGGAGUUUUCUCAAACGCAUGUCCAUUGAGUUGGUGAUGCCAUCCAACCAUCUCAUCCUCUGUCAUCCUUUCUCCUCCCACCCUCAAUCUUUCCCAGCAUCAAUGAGUCAACUCUUCACAUCAGGUGGCCAAAGUAUCGGAGUUCCAGCUUCUACAUCAGUCCUUCCAAUGAAUAUUCAAAACUGAUUUCAUUUAGGAUGGACUGGUUGGAUCUCUUGGCAGUUCAAAGGACUCUCAAGAGUAUUCUCCAACACCACAGUUCAAAAGCAUCAGUUCUUCAGUGCUCAGCUUUCUUUAUAGUCCAAUUCUUACAUCCAUACAUACAUGCAUAAGUCUUACAGAGGUAAUCCUAAAUCAGAUGGGGGCAAGGUCCCACCAGGCACAGCACCUCAGAUCAGGAAGUGUGUUUCACAUGGGCCUCCCCAGUGAGCCCUGCACAUCAGUUCCCUCUCCUCUCAGCCUCCCCCAGGUCUCUGUGGAUCACAGCCACCCUCUGGAUUUCUCUCCAAGUGGACAUGAGAUGCACAUGAGGAGUAAGGAAGCAAACCCCUUUUUGAGCACUGGAAACAGGGAAUUCGAGAAUCACGGGUGUGCCUCCUGCCUGAACUCUACGUCAAACCUCUGCUUUCUGGUUGGAAGAGUAUGGAACCGCUCUGCAUCAUACAGGGAGUAGAGAGUGAAGCUCCCAGGGCAGCCAGGAGACAGUGUGAGAAGCAGCCAUGGAAGGAAAGAAGAGGGGAUGAAGUAGACAGGCAGCCUCAAGAGGGCCUGGAGGAGAAGGCCUUGGGAGAGCGUGUUAGAGCUGUCCUGCCUGUAUCUUGCCUUCCACACCUCAGUGAAAUCUACCACACUCCCACCUCACAGUGUGAGGAGGGGUCUAAACAUUGCUAGUCUUAAAGGUCUUCUGAGAAACACGUUCGUACUUCCAGAAACUGGUGGGAAUCCUCAUCACAGCUCUGGAGGAAAAGCUAAGUGAGUCUUUCAUGUGUGAAAUAAGCUUUUAGUCCUCCAAGCCUUCAAGGCAACAGCUACCCAAGAAUUCCUAGAAAUUGUAUCACUCUUCU